AGAAGCAGCUCUAGCAGGUGAAAAGUUGGGAUUAUACAAACCUGACAUAGCUUUUUUUUCAGGUGAAUAAGCUUUUAGACUGAAAUGGCUCCCUCUGCUGGGUUAUAGUGUAGCGGCAGAAGAUAGGAAAAGAAAAGAAAAGAAAAGAAAAGAAACAGAAACAGAAACAGAGAGAGAGAGAGAGAGACAAGCUUUUAGUCUGAAAUGGCUCCCCCUGCUGGGUUAUAGUAUAGCGGCAGAAGAUGGGAAAAGAAAAGAAAAGAAACAAAACAGAAACAGAAAGAGAGAGAAAAAGAGAGAGAGAACCCUUGAAAAGGGUUUUGUGUAAAUAAAGGGUGAAAAGUCUAAAAGCCUGUGAAAUUGGCAGAAAGAAAGCCAAAACCAUUUUUUAUUUUUUAUUUUUUAUUUUUGUUGUAUGAAGAAGUUACUAUAGUAGUAGGA
rnacentral:lncRNA from 1 species